rnacentral:tRNA from 1 species
UGUUCUGUGGCUUAGUUCAUUACAGCGCCGGACUAGCGAUACGGAGUCGUGCGUUCAAAUCUCACCAAAACAA